rnacentral:rRNA from 1 species
GUUCACGGCCAUACCUCCCUGAAUGCGCCCAAUCUCCUCUGAUCUCAGAAGCUGAGCAGCAUCAGGUAUGGUUAGUAUUUGAUGGAAGAAAAGCGACGAGUAGUUCUGUGAAAC